UACGGAAGGUGCAAGCGUUAUCCGGAAUCACUGGGUUUAAAGGGUGCGUAGGCGGCGUAAUAAGUCAGAGGUGAAAGCUCACAGCUUAACUGUGGAACUGCCUUUGAUACUGUUAUGCUUGAAUUAGGUUGAGGUUGGCGGAAUGAGUCAUGUAGCGGUGAAAUGCAUAGAUAUGACUUAGAACACCGAUUGCGAAGGCAGCUGGCUAGACCUUAAUUGACGCUGAGGCACGAAAGCGUGGGGAGCGAACAGG
rnacentral:rRNA from 1 species